AAACUAAUAAUUUUCCAGUAUAUUCUGAACUGUGUCUGCUUGCAUCUACACUUCAAUGGCUUCCAUAUCACAGUCACACUCAUUUUCUUCUCCCAUUCUCUCUUCUCCCCUUCACCACGCCAAGUCCAACCCCAUUUUUCGGGUUACCCGCAUCUCACUCGUAGUUUCGGCUUCAGCAUCUUCCUUUUCUCUCUCUUCGCUAUCCAAAAACAAACAACGAAACCAAAGUAAAUUUCCCGAAACAUUGUUUCGUGAGAGUAUGGAGAAGACAACCAUUAACAAAAAGAAGAAAAAGAAGAAGAAGAAGGAAAAAGAGAACAGCGCUAAAGUUUGGGUCCACACUCUCCCCGAAACCUUAUCUUAUCACAUUCACAAGAAGCACUGGAAUAUAGCCCUUCAGUUAUUUGACAUGCUUAGAGAGCAACCCUAUUACCAACCCAGAGAGGAGACUUACAUGAGACUCAUUGUGUUGCUUAGAAAAUCCGGCCAACCCCAUCAUGCCCAUCAGCUUUUUAACUCUAUAAUUGAAGAUGGUUGUGAAAGUACCAAACUUUAUACAGCCUUAAUUGCAGCUUAUUGUCAGAACAACCUAGUUGAUGAGGCAUUCUCAAUUCUUGAUGAGAUGAAGAACCUCCCUCAUUGCCAGCCUGAUAUUUUCACUUACACUACCUUGAUAAAAGCUCAUGUGGAUGCUUUGAACUUUGAAAUGGUUGAGUUGCUGUAUGAUGAAAUGGCUGAAAGAUCUAUCAUGCCAAACACCCUCACCCAGAACAUCGUUCUUGGUGGUUGUGCUAAGGCAGAGAAGUUUGAUCAGAUGGAGAAAAUACUGUCUAGUAUGAUGGAGAGCACUGCAUGCAAGCCCGAUAUUUUGACAAUGAAUGCAGUCAUCAGGGUCUUUGGUGAUAAGGGUCAGACUGAUAUGAUGGAGAAAUGGUAUGAGAGGUUUCGUAGUUUUGGGAUACAACCAAAAACAAGCACUUUUGAUAUUUUAAUUGGAGCUUAUGGUAAUAAAAAAAUGUAUGACAAAAUGUCAUCUGUUAUGCAGUAUAUGCGCAAGGUACAAUGUCCAUGGACUACCUCAACUUAUAACAAUGUGAUUGAGGCAUUUGCAGCUGGAGGUGAUGCUGAAAACUUGGAAUCUACUUUUGAUCAGAUGCGUGCCGAGGGUUUGAAAGCAGAUACUAAAACUUUCUGCUGCCUUAUCAAUGGUUAUGCCAAUGCAGGUAUCUUCCAUAAAGUAAUUAAUAGUGUUAGUUUGGCUGAGAAGCUUCAGAUACCUGAGAAUACUUCCUUUUACAAUGCAAUCAUAUCUGCAUGUGCAAGGGAAGAUGCUUUGAGGGAAAUGGAAAGAGCUUUCAAGCGUAUGAAAGAAAAACAAUGUCAACCAGAUGACACAACGUAUACUGUCAUGAUUGAGGCAUACAGAAAAGAAGGCAUGAAUGACAAGAUUUACUAUCUGGAGCAGGAAAAGCAGAUGAUAUCUGAUGACAAAAUAUUGAAUGUGCCUGAGGUAAUCCUUGGCUGAUUUAUGGUUCAAAGACAGAGUGCUAAUUCAUGUGCCCCUCCUCCAUCUUUUUGAAGCAGCGGUUGGUAGUUUUUGUAAUUUGAUGUGAACGAAUGAUUAGUUGGGUCUUCGUGCUUCUUUCCUUGUGAUGAAUGACAACUCCUUCCCAACAUGAUAUUGAGUGCUUAUUUCCCACUUGGAAAAGUGUUGCUUUCAUAGGCAUGGCAUAAACUACUCCGUUAUUUUGCGGGAACUGGGUAGCUGGUUGAAAGAAGUUCCUUGAAUCUGGUAAUAGCCACUUUCUUUUAGCUCUAUGUGUAUCCUUAGAAAUAGAAAUAGUAAUUCUAAUGGAUGAUCAUUAUGGUUAUAAUUGUAUAAUUGCACCUAAGGGUUAAAAGUUGAUUGAUAAAAUGCAUUUCCUAGCCAGUAAAUUUCAGUCAACUAGAUGCUCAAAGUCACAGGUAAAGACUAUUUGAAGUCCAUGCAUUUACCAUUUAAAAAAAAAAAAGAUUAGUUGAAGUCCUGUUUCUAAUUGUGGAGGGGAGAGUAACGGAGGGUGCUGAAAAUCUUCGUUGUAUAAAAAAGAGUAAGGACACUCUU